rnacentral:rRNA from 1 species
CCUACGGGAGGCAGCAGUGGGGAAUUUUCCGCAAUGGGCGAAAGCCUGACGGAGCAAUACCGCGUGAGGGAAGAAAGCCUACUGGGUUGUAAACCUCUUUUUUCAGGGAGGAAAAAAAUGACGUGUACCUGAAGAAUAAGCAUCGGCUAACUCCGUGCCAGCAGCCGCGGUAAGACGGAGGAUGCAAGUGUUAUCCGGAAUUACUGGGCGUAAAGCGUCUGUAGGUGGUUUAAUAAGUCAACUGUUAAAUCUUGAGGCUUAACUUCAAAACAGCAGUCGAAACUAUUAGACUAGAGUAUAGUAGGGGUAAAGGGGAUUUCCAGUGGAGCGGUGAAAUGCGUAGAUAUUGGAAAGAACACCGAUGGCGAAAGCACUUUACUGGGCUAUUACUAACACUCAGAGACGAAAGCUAGGGUAGCAAAUGGGAUUAGAUACCCCCAGUAGUCCUAGCUGUAAACAAUGGAUACUAGAUGUUGAACAGAUCGACCUGUGCAGUAUUAAAGCUAACGCGUUAAGUAUCCCGCCUGGGAAGUAUGCUCGCAAGAGUGAAACUUAAAGGAAUUGACGG